rnacentral:rRNA from 1 species
GAUCCUGGCUCAGGACGAACGCUGGCGGCGUGCCUAAUACAUGCAAGUCGAGCGGAGUUCAUCGGGAGCUUGCUUCGGAUGAACUUAGCGGCGGACGGGUGAGUAACACGUAGGCAACCUGCCCGUAAGACCGGGAUAACUACCGGAAACGGUAGCUAAUACCGGAUACGCAAGUUUCUCGCAUGAGGGACUUGGGAAAGGCGGAGCAAUCUGUCACUUACGGAUGGGCCUGCGGCGCAUUAGCUAGUUGGG